UAACGUAACGUUUCGACUUUAUUGUCUUCAUUUUUGAUGAAGACAAUAAAGUCGAAACGUUACGUUAU